CACAUGGAGGAGAAGUCUGGAAAGCUGCUGAUUGUUCUCCUUUAAUCAAUCAUCUCUAUUGAUCCAUCUCUUCCUCUGCAUGUUCUGUUCUUCCCCAGAGUGUAAAGGAGACUCAGUGACGCAGACAGAAAGAGAAGUUGUUGCUGCUGCAGGAGAAACUCGGACUCUGGGAUGUACCUUUGAAGCCAGUGGUACAAAUUAUGCCUUGUUCUGGUAUAAACAAGAAGAAAACAGUUUCCCAAAGUACAUGUUGAAGCAGCUGUCAUCAAUGAAAGAUAAAGCUCCAGAGUUCAACAGCAGCAGAUUUGAUGCUGACCUCAAUAAAGACGACAAAUCCUUCAACCUGAAGAUCCAGGAUCUCCGUCCGUCAGACUCUGCUGUGUACUACUGCGCUCUGCAGCCCACAGUGACAGGAAACACCAGAACCCUGUGCAAAAACCUGCAGUACUCCACAGCGGCCACUAGAGGGCCUCACUCCCUGUUAAUCCACUAAAACCUGCAGUACUCCACAGCGGCCACUAGA